AUCAUGGCCCUUACGGGUAGGGCUACACACGUGCUACAAUGGCCGGUACAAAGGGUUGCGAAAGCGCGAGCUGAAGCUAAUCCCGAAAAGCCGGUCUCAGUCCGGAUCGGAGUCUGCAACUCGACUCCGCGAAGUCGGAAUCGCUAGUAAUCGUGCAUCAGAAUGGCACGGUGAAUACGUUCCCGGGCCUUGUACACACCGCCCGUCACACCAUGGAAGUGGACUGCACCAGAAGUGGUUAGCUUAACCUUCGGGAGAGCGAUCACCACGGUGUGGUUCAUGACUGGGGUGAAGUCGUAACAAGGUAGCCGUAGGGGAACCUGCGGCUGGAUCACCUCCUUAAAC
rnacentral:rRNA from 1 species